AGUUUGAUCCUGGCUCAGGAUGAACGCUGGCGGCGUGCCUAAUACAUGCAAGUCGAGCGAACGGACGAGAAGCUUGCUUCUCUGAUGUUAGCGGCGGACGGGUGAGUAACACGUGGAUAACCUACCUAUAAGACUGGGAUAACUUCGGGAAACCGGAGCUAAUACCGGAUAAUAUUUUGAACCGCAUGGUUCAAAAGUGAAAGACGGUCUUGCUGUCACUUAUAGAUGGAUCCGCGCUGCAUUAGCUAGUUGGUAAGGUAACGGCUUACCAAGGCAACGAUGCAUAGCCGACCUGAGAGGGUGAUCGGCCACACUGGAACUGAGACACGGUCCAGACUCCUACGGGAGGCAGCAGUAGGGAAUCUUCCGCAAUGGGCGAAAGCCUGACGGAGCAACGCCGCGUGAGUGAUGAAGGUCUUCGGAUCGUAAAACUCUGUUAUUAGGGAAGAACAUAUGUGUAAGUAACUGUGCACAUCUUGACGGUACCUAAUCAGAAAGCCACGGCUAACUACGUGCCAGCAGCCGCGGUAAUACGUAGGUGGCAAGCGUUAUCCGGAAUUAUUGGGCGUAAAGCGCGCGUAGGCGGUUUUUUAAGUCUGAUGUGAAAGCCCACGGCUCAACCGUGGAGGGUCAUUGGAAACUGGAAAACUUGAGUGCAGAAGAGGAAAGUGGAAUUCCAUGUGUAGCGGUGAAAUGCGCAGAGAUAUGGAGGAACACCAGUGGCGAAGGCGACUUUCUGGUCUGUAACUGACGCUGAUGUGCGAAAGCGUGGGGAUCAAACAGGAUUAGAUACCCUGGUAGUCC
rnacentral:rRNA from 1 species